GUUGUGUCCUGCCUUGGCUCUG
rnacentral:miRNA from 1 species